GCUCUUUCUUUUUUGGCGGUCGGGCUCUCGAUGGUGGCAUCCCUGGCGCGAAGGUGGCACCAUGUAUCGCUUUCUGCUAGGGAACAAGUUAGUCUGCUCCUGCUGGUUGGGGGUUCGAGCUGCGGGGAGGAGGGGAUGAUGAUGUGUCUCUCUAGGAUCCUUUGUAGUCCGAGGGUGAGUGACGGUGUCGGGGAAGGGGUGGAAGGGAGCCGUCUCGUAGCUAGUCAGUGCCAAGGUGUAGGCCACCCAGUGCGUGGGUCUCCCUGUAAUGGAGUGAAAGGGUAUUUGUUGGGAUGUCUGGAUCUCGGUUGGUUUGGGACCUCUGCCUGGAGUCGUGCUCCAGCAGUGAAGUGCAGAAAGCUGUGAAUAUGGUCUGUGGGCUGCGCCAGCGCUGGUGCGAGCCCCUGCAGGGAGACUCUGUAGUGGUCGGAAAGAGCUCGACUGAGCUGCGGAAUAGCCUGAGUAGCAUCAUUGGGACCUCUGCGACUUGGAAGAAACGACUAUAUCCUGGAGCUUUAGAGAGGUGGCAAGGCAGAGCCUGUGGCCACGGUAAGGGGUUGUGGGAGCCAGCCCUUUAAAGAAGCUGUUCAACUUAGAAGUGUUGAAGUCUGGAGGAAUGUGCACGCUGGGGGAAGUUUGUACGUCUCUGGCCUUGAUUCUUGACUCAGCACAUGGCAUAGUGGAAGGCAAUCCAGGCAAAUUCAAGCCCCCUAUUGGGGACCUGAUGUUUCACAGAAAGGUGUUCACAGAGAGCAUGUGGGAAACAGUACAGGUGAAGUCCGAAUAGGAUAUAUUGGGAGAUUAGGGUAUCUUGUGAAGCUGGGUACAGGUGUGUUUGUUUCUGAGACAGGGUUUCACUGUAACCUGGCUGGACUGGAAUAAGAGAUUCACCUGCCUCUGCCUCUUCCGCGCUGGGAUUAAAUCAUGCCAUACCACAUUUA
rnacentral:lncRNA from 1 species